GGUUUUCUUGGGCUGUAUCCCAGGGGGUUCCAGCUCUGAGGACCCAGAGCAGUGAGCAGUGCAGACAUUUGUAUGUGAGAAGUGACAAUGUAUGGGCGGGCCUUCCUCGGAUUGCAGAACCCACCCUUGCUUUCUAAACCGAGCCCCUUCAGCCUUGUACUGGCCCGCAUGGGGAACAGAUCUUGUUUCUCCUCCACAGUGAUCAGUCCUUUCUUGCCAUCCUCAGACAUCCCCUCAGCAUCACAAGCUUCUUACCUUGCCAAUGGAGAACAGUUGAACUGUGUUCUCCCCUCCAAUCAUCCCCAAACCAAAUUGUCUUAUUUUUAUUAAACACCUACUAUGUGCAGCAGGGUUCUAGACACCAGGAGAGCAGGAGUGCAUAUAUGCGUGCACACACACACACACACACACACAAACACACACACACACACAGAGCCUCCUCUAUGACUAUUUUGAGAAUAAAGUUAGGUCACAUUUUUAUCUUAGCAGCAACUAAUAUAUUUUUUAAUGAGUUUUGUAACUGCUGCCCAUAAACACUGAGAACAGGGACCAAUUAACGGCUGUAAACAGAUUUCUUGGCUGCAAUUAUCCCUGCAGUCUCUCAGCAGGCCUGAGUCUGCAGGACCACUAGUGAUCCUGACACUCUGUGUCAGUCUCAGUUCCUCAUCAGCAAAUGAGGGUUUGGGGCAGGUGGUCUCCAGGGUCCUGUUUCCAUCCACCAGACAGCACAUGGCUGCAGAGAGCUCGCCAUGCUGCAUUCUGACAGGAUGCGCAAACUUCUCAGAAUCCUUGUUCUCUACUUCCUCACAGUACGCAGCCUCCUUCCAGUGUGCACCUCAUGGCACUGGAAAAUGGGUUUGCCUAAGUUUCUCAAGCCAGAGGAGCGCCUCCACAGCCGUGGCGCUGACACCUGAAACCCAGCUGCUCCAGUCUGGUGCACUCUACACACAGAAUUAACCCAACACUAAGACAGGAAGAUUGCCAGAAGUUCCAGCCUAGCCUGUGGUUAAGUGCAAGGUUCUGUCUCAAAAAUAAAUAAAUAAAUAAAUAAAUAUACCCAAGUAAACCAAACCAAACCAAAGCACCAACACCAACACCAACACUAACAUCAGCACCAAUAGAAGAACAGCAGUCCAGACUCUGCUGGGGUUCUUCAAAGACUGCAGAGCCAUCCUGUUGAGGUUUCUCUUCCCAUUAGGGAGCUAUGCCUUUGGGCGGUCAGUAAUUUAAAUGAGUACUGAAGCCACAAGCACAGAAGGCACAUAUUGAGGAUGGUGGAUGACCGUCAUGGGGAGAGUGAUGAGUUCUGAGAGCUGCUCAAAGCUUCAUCGUGAAGAACAAGCAAUACAUAUAGAGAGCUCUUACCUGGAGCGGUAUUCUGCCUCUUUGCCCUCUCUGAAGGACGAUACAGGGAUAUAAUGACUUAGACAUAAAUUCAUUCCAUAGCCAACUCUACCUACUGGGAGCCAGGUACAGCAAAGCGUUCACCGGGCUCAGCACUUGGCCCUCUUCUUCUGGCUGGAUCACACAGGUUCACCUGGCAGUGCUCGUGGCUAGGUCUCCAUCUCCCAUUUAAGGGAAAAUAAACACAGGGUGAGCUCCUCACAUAACGUGACUCCAUCCUGCAUAAUUGCUGGAAGGAAAGCCUCCUGGUCUCGUAGCUGAACAAUGCUAGUGAUUACAGUGAUUAAAUCAAUCAAAUCCAAUUUCAUAAUCAUCCAAUGGAGCGUUCUCGACUCCACGGGAGCCCCCGACGUGACAUGUGCCAACCCAGCUGUCUCAUACAAGAAUCAAAAACAGCAUUAAACAAAACAUUUGUGGGGGAGGGUUAAAGGUUUUCAAAAAUGUACUUCCAUGUUAAUAAGAAUAAGGAGGCUCAAUAAGGCUCCGUGAAAAUUUAGUUUAAUGAUAGUGGAAUAACUCAUUUAUAAUUCCUGGUGACUGACUUUAGUAGUUCACCCAUGAAAAACGUACUCACUCUAUUCUGUCCAAUAGCUGUUUUAUUGUCAUUGUAUCAGGGAUGAUUUUUGCCAGCUGAGAAAGUCACUGUUAGACGGUGUUCUCUGAAGGCUCUGAGGUAAUAACACAGAUGAUGUACAACUGCAGUUAAAGAAGGGGUUUUCGAGAUGUCUCCACAGUGAGGCUGCAGAGAGCUGUAUGUGAAUCUAGUUGACUGAUGCUACAGGGCUCCCAGGUCAGAUCUUGGCACCUGAUGGGCAUAGAGAGAGGGGAGCUUUUGGUAGGAAAUAUCACUGUCAACUUGACUGGACUUAGAAUCACCACGACACACACGGCUGCUGUGUGUGUGUCCCUGAGGGUGUUUCCAGAAGGGUUGAACUGACUGUAGGAGGAGGAUCCACCCUGAACGUGGGCAGCACCAUCCGUGACAUUGGGUCCUAGACUAAGGAAAUAAACUGAGCAUCAACAUUCACCUUCCCCACUCUCUCUCCUCCUGACUGCAGGUGCAAUAUGACAGCUGCCUCACUGUUCUGACACCAUGCUUCCCCCAUGAUGAUGGAGUGUACCCUCAGACAGUGAGCCAGAACACAUUCUACAUGUCUUAUGAUGCCUUUGUCAGGCAUUUUAUCUUGGUAGUAAGAAUCGUGACUUGACACAUGAAGCUUGGUCUCAGAGCCUCUAAGCUAAAGUCAUCUGAGAAGAGGGAAUCUCAACUG
rnacentral:lncRNA from 1 species